rnacentral:lncRNA from 12 species
GUCGCCUCCUCCAGAAGCUUUCCUGGACUUCCUCCAUCCCUAAAAGCUCCAUUAUACCGCCUGUUCUUUCAUUUUUUUUUAAAUAUUUAUUUUUAUUUAUUCAUUCAUGAGAGACACACAGAGAGAGAGAGACCCAGGCAGACGGAGAAGCAGGCUCCCUACAGGGAGCCUGAGGCAGGACUUGAUCCCGGGACCCAGGAUCAUGCCCUGGGCUGAAGGCUGAUCUGCAACUGCUGAGCCCCCCAGGCGUCCCCUGUUGUUUCAUUUUUUGUUUUAAGGGGGGGCAUGUGUGGAAACCACCUGUGUUCUCAGUACCUGGUGCAUAAUAGGAUGCGGCACACGAUAGGUACUUAGUAAGCAAAUGGGCAAAACGUAUCCCUCUGUGGAGGAAGGAGGGCGAGCGACCCUGUGGGGUGGAAGUAGGUGUGGGGGACACAGAAGAUGAAAGGCUCAUGCUGCAGGCCUGCCGGGGAGCCCUAGGGGUGACCUGGAACUUCACUUCCCGGGGGUCAGGAGGGUCCAGGGAGGUCUUGGCUGUGAAGGAGUUCCGCGGCCUCUGUGGGGUCCCUGUGCGCCCUCGUACCUCUCAACUUUGCCUUGGUUCCCAGACGAGGGAGGAGAGAAAGAUCAGAGAAGGAGGGGGCGGCCCAGGCCCGGUGAGCGGGUGAGGGUGCGGGGGCCCAGGAGUGUAGCCUCAGAGUGGGCGGGACUCGGGGUGCCUGGGUGCCCCCGGCGGCCUGGGGCCUCCGUCUGGGUGGGAUCCGGCCCGGUGUCGGCCUCGGAGACGAAGUGAGCCGACGUCCUUCCAGGGGAGGGUACACGGGGGCCCGAGGGAGGCAGGGUUUGUCCAAGGUCACCCCGCGGGAGGGGUCGCCGUCCUCCACCCUGCCCUCCGCGCGGCAGGGUCCCGACGCGCCCUCCCGGGGUCCCACCUGCGGCCGGGCGGGGCGGGCGCUCCCGGGCCGCGGUCCCUUUAAGCCCGGGCGCGAUGCUCAGCCGCCGCCAGGCCGGAGCCGGAGCCGGAGCGGGAGCCCCAGCGGCCCGCGGAGCUCCCGGACCCGGACCGGACCCGGGCUGGGCGGCGGGCGCGGGGGGGCGCGGGCAGGACGGGCAAGGUCAAGGGGCCCAGAUGCUGCGGCCCUGGACUUCCCGCCCACUGGUCGGAUCAGGGCAUUGAAAUCAAGCCCCUCUGUCUCUGGUGAGCCCUGCCUGGUCUCCGUCCUGCAGGAAGGACGCACACACCUUCUGAACGUUUAAUGAUGCCGGAAUCCGAGAGCCUCCCUCGGUCCCCCGAGCCUAACUAACCCUCAGUGGGAAGUGGGGGAUGGCCCCUGACCCUGGGGGGCCAGGGAGGGAGGCUGGGCCUGGGGUGUCGCUUUCAGGAGGCUUCUCUGACCUCCGGGCCCAUCCCCAGGACUCCAGAGUAGACAAAAUUAAAAAAAAAAAAAACUGUAAUAAGCCAAUACUUUCCAUAAGGGAGUAAUAAGUGUCAUGGGGGAAAAUAGAGCAGAACCCGGGAGCGGGCGAGGGGCAGCCGUCCUCUGCAGGGUGCUCAGAAGAGGCGCGUCUGCUGAGGUACCCCUGAGCAGAGGCCCGGGAGAGCGGCCAGCCCUGGGCUGCAAGCAGCCUGUGGGGAGGAGGGCUGGAAAUAGGGCUUAUAGGGCCUCGAGUUAGUAUGGACGGCCAGAGCUUGGCUGAGGCUACCGCUCACUGGCUUGCAGGGGAGAGGCUGG